rnacentral:misc_RNA from 1 species
CUGUUCGAGCGUCAUUACAACCCUCAAGCACUGCUUGGUAUUGGGCUCCGCUGGUCUCAGCGGGCCUUAAAAUCAGUGGCGGCGCGUCUGGGCUCUGAGCGUAGUAAAUAUCCUCGCUAUAGAGACCAGAUGGUUCUUGUCAUCAACCCCAACUUUCUAAGUUUGACCUCGGAUCAGGUAGGGAUACCCGCUGAACUUAA